GACGAACGCUGGCGGCGUGCUUAACACAUGCAAGUCGAACGAUGAAGCCGGAGCUUGCUCUGGUGAAUUAGUGGCGAACGGGUGAGUAACACGUGAGUAACCCGCCCUUGACUCUGGGAUAACUGCGGGAAACUGUAGCUAAUACCGGAUACGACCCUCGGAGGCAUCUCCUGGGGGUGGAAAGAAUUUCGGUCAAGGAUGGACUCGCGGCCUAUCAGCUAGUUGGUGAGGUAAAGGCUCACCAAGGCGACGACGGGUAGCCGGCCUGAGAGGGUGACCGGCCACACUGGGACUGAGACACGGCCCAGACUCCUACGGGAGGCAGCAGUGGGGAAUAUUGCACAAUGGGCGCAAGCCUGAUGCAGCAGCGCCGCGUGAGGGAUGACGGCCUUCGGGUUGUAAACCUCUUUUAGCAGGGAAGAAGCGAAAGUGACGGUACCUGCAGAAAAAGCACCGGCUAACUACGUGCCAGCCGCCACCGUAA
rnacentral:rRNA from 1 species